rnacentral:rRNA from 1 species
UCCAUGUGGGGCAAGCGUUGUCCGGAAUCAUUGGGCGUAAAGCGCGCGUAGGCGGCCCGAUAAGUCCGCUGUAAAAGUCAACGGCUCAACUGUUGAAAGCCGGUGGAUACUGUCGGGCUAGAGUACGGAAGAGGCAAGUGGAAUUCCUGGUGUAGCGGUGGAAUGCGCAGAUAUCAGGAGGAAUACCAGUGGCGAAGGCGGCUUCCUGGCCUGUUCUUGACGCUGAGGCGCGAAAGCUAGGGUAGCAAACGGG